rnacentral:rRNA from 1 species
UACGUAGGGGGCAAGCGUUGUCCGGAUUCACUGGGUGUAAAGGGCGCGUAGGCGGGCUUGCAAGUCAGGGGUGAAAUCCUACGGCUUAACCGUAGAACUGCCUUUGAUACUGCAAGUCUUGAGUGCGGAAGAGAGAGACGGAAUUCCAGGUGUAGUGGUGAAAUACGUAGAUAUCUGGAAGAACACCAGUGGCGAAGGCGGUCUCUUGGUCCGUUACUGACGCUGAGGCGCGAAAGCGUGGGGAGCAAACAGGAUUAGAUACCCUGGUAGUCCACGCUGUAAACGAUGAAUACUAGGUGUUGGGUCAAUUGACUCAGUGCCGCAGCAAACGCAUUAAGUAUUCCACCUGGGGAGUACGAUCGCAAGGUUGAA